rnacentral:rRNA from 1 species
GAUGAACGCUGGCGGCGUGCCUAAUACAUGCAAGUCGAGCGAACGGACGAGAAGCUUGCUUCUCUGAUGUUAGCGGCGGACGGGUGAGUAACACGUGGAUAACCUACCUAUAAGACUGGGAUAACUUCGGGAAACCGUAGCUAAUACCGGAUAAUAUUUUGAACCGCAUGGUUCAAAAGUGAAAGACGGUCUUGCUGCCACUUAUAGAUGGAUCCGCGCUGCAUUAGCUAGUUGGUAAGGUAACGGCUUACCAAGGCAACGAUGCAUAGCCGACCUGAGAGGGUGAUCGGCCACACUGGAACUGAGACACGGUCCAGACUCCUACGGGAGGCAGCAGUAGGGAAUCUUCCGAAAUGGGCGAAAGCCUGACGGAGCAACGCCGCGUGAGUGAUGAAGGUCUUCGGAUCGUAAAACUCUGUUAUUAGGGAAGAACAUAUGUGUAAGUAACUGUGCACAUCUUGACGGUACCUAAUCAGAAAGCCACGGCUAACUACGUG